GAUGAACGCUGGCGGCGUGCCUAAUACAUGCAAGUCGAGCGAACGGACGAGAAGCUUGCGUCUCUGAUGUUAGCGGCGGACGGGUGAGUAACACGUGUAUAACCUACCUAUAAGACUGGGAUAACUUCGGGAAACCGGAGCUAAUACCGGAUAAUAUUUUGAACCGCAUGGUUCAAAAGUGAAAGACGGUCUUGCCGUCACUUAUAGAUGGAUCCGCGCUGCAUUAGCUAGUUGGUAAGGUAACGGCUUACCAAGGCAACGAUGCAUAGCCGACAUGAGAGGGUGAUCGGCCACACUGGAACUGAGACACGGUCCAGACUCCUACGGGAGGCAGCAGUAGGGCAUCUUGCGCAAUGGGCGAAAGCCUGACGGAGCAACGCCGCGUGAGUGAUGAAGGUCUUCGGAUCGUAAAACUCUGUUAUUAGGGAAGAACAUAUGUGUAAGUAACUGUGAACAUCUUGACGGUACCUAAUCAGAAAGCCACGGCUAACUACGUG
rnacentral:rRNA from 1 species